UAGAACAUUUUAUUUCCUCUCUACAUCUGCUGUAUCUAUAGAAAGACUAAUUGAGGUAGUCUUAUCGGUCUUGGAUUGUGGGUGAAUCCACUGAUGCAUCAAUCCCUGGGACACUGGAGCCAUCAGGAUGAGAAGGAUGGGGCACCCGCAGUGGGAGAAAGGCCACGCUUGUGACCCUUUGUCUAGGGGCGGGUGAAAGCGUGUCACAAAGGAAUGGGGGGUAAUGUCACGAAGGCUUUCCUCCUAAGGGAGGCCCCUGAAUCAAGAGCACACAAGAUAAGACUCUGGAGAAAAAUCUAGUUUUUUGUUAGGUCUGGGGAGACUGCUCAAGGAGUUCUGAUCAGUAGAUUUAUCUGGAGAGGUAUUCCAGAAUGGCUAGUGUUAAAUUCCACAUUGCUUUAGGUCCUUGGCUGUCUGGAGGAGGAUGCUGGUUAGAAGAAGAAUCCCCUGAACUCAUCAAGCAAAAAAUAAGCACAGAAGUAGCAAAUCCUUCCUUGCCCUCAGGGUACUUUUGUAGAAACAGGAAAAGGGCUGGAUUUUUUCAUCUGAGUUGACAAACAGCAAAAGAGAAUAUGGAAGUGGAAGCUGGUGAUCGAGGAGAAAUGAGAAAUGGCCGAAACCAUUGGGAAGGCAUCAUAAACCUUGGUAGGUGCUCAUGGCCAUUCCAGUACUUCAAAUGAAAACAGAAGUGUGAAGGAAGCCACAUGGAACGAGACAGAAACACAGGGUGCUCAAUGGCAGAGCUUAGACUGUUGCCUCACCUUCUCAGUAAAGCAGAAACCUUCAAGAAGCCAUCGGAGCUCUCUCCCUCUUUGACGUGGGAAGACUCAAGACAACGCAUGCUGUAGUCAUUGGUGCUGCCACGUUCCCAUCAUCCAUCUGCCCUCUUUUCUCAGCUGAUACUUCCAUCUACUCCUUGAUGAUUCCUCAGAAAGUCUCUUCGUCAUCUUGUGCUUCAUUUCUACACCUAUAGAAAUUGGUCAGAAUGAAACUAUAAAGUUUACACAUGAAAUAAAAUGAGGAUAUUUGAAAUUGCAAGUGGCCAGUAGAAGCCAAACGUGGCUCAUGUAAUGGGUAAGCCUGGUGGUGGUUCAUGCUUCAGGCAUGACUGGCGGAAUCCGGGGGUUCAAAUGAUGUUUCCCUCAUCCUGCAUGUGGGCUGUCCCCUCAAGGUAGGGAAAAAAUGAGCUCUAGCCAUCGCAGAAUCACACUGACCCAGUUAAACUGUCCCAGAAGGAAGAGGUACUUCUCUCCACCUGUGUCCAUAUAUGCCUUCAGGGAAGGUGCCUGCUCAGAUCACUUGCUCUUCCUCUGUCCAUUGCCAUUGCAGAGGAAUCCUGGAAUAAUUUUGUUCUCGUGAGCAGGGACGACAUGAUUGACCACACGUGAAAUAGGUGGUGAUGGUGGCGGCUGUCACUUCCAGAAAUAAGGGUGCCAGUUAGAUGAAAGCAAUGGGAUCCUCUCCAUCCACCCGCGUACCCAUGCAGCCAGCUACCCAGACAAGUGGGCAGUCAUUCACUGACAGCGUAUUGUAGCCAUCGCAGUAUGCUAAGCCAUGUCUGAGAUUCCUAAGGACAGUGAGACACAACUCACAAAUCAAGACGGCGCAAGGUCAGAAGGGCUAAGCGGGUAAGGGAGACGGUGGAAAGCCUACGAAUGUUCAGCUGAAGGAACUAUUCCCUAUAGCUAGGGGAAAUUGAAAAUGACUUCUCAGAGAUAGCAUAGUGAUGAAGUGCAUGUGUUACUGGCACUUAAAAACUAGGGUUUGAUUCGUGGCUCCUCUAGUUAUUAGCUGUGUAACAUUGGCACUCUUUAGAUUCGCUUCACUGUCUCCAAAAGGGGAGUAAGAUAGGAUCUGCCUCAUAGGGACAUGGUGUGGAGAUGAGGCACGUGUGAGCUUUUAGCAUCACGCCUGGCGUGAAACAAAAGUUCAACGAAUGGCAGAUGUCAUGGUUUUGUUGCAGUGGUUUUGAGAGCUUUAUUUGAAAAGUUGCACCUGGAAAAGAAAUGUGGCAUCCUUAAUGACAUUUGUGAAUGUCCUGAGGGUACCGAAAGCUGGCACGAUCACGAAAACACCCGUGUCUUGUUUGUAGGAAUGAGGGAGGACAGCGUCCCUGCUUUCCAUGAUGGACAGUAGCCGCAUGGUGGGUGGCAGCUGGAUUGUGUCAUACCCAGUUGUGUGCCUGAGACUGUGCGUUUCCUACUGAAGAGGACAAAGAGACAUCUAAAGAAAAAUAGACGUGAAUCAUAGGGAAAAGGGCACUGGGUCUGUUUUGGAUUAGUGGAGAGGAAAUGGGUGGAAAACAUUUGGUUGUUUGAGCAUAAGAAGAGCUUAUUAAAAAGUCCUAGGUUUGUGUGUUCUCCAGAAUGUUUCUUCCUAGUAAUAAAGCCUGCGAAGUCAUGUGACUCAGGAAAAAAGAUGUAAAUUGGAUUUGGAAGAACAGGCUUUAGCCUUGACCCGACCAGGUUCUGCUUUGUGAAUGGGGGAAAACUCACCUAGGGUGGUCAGCCUCAUUUUCCCCACCGGCAAUUCAGGGUGAUGCUCUGCCUUCCUCGCAGGGUUUCAGCGGGCAUGCAGGGGAAUCAAGUGACUUAAUGAAAUAUACGUUGUUGGAGGAGUCGUUAGCACUAUGGGACAGUGCAAGGACUAUUAGGCACAGGGUACAAAGGAGUGUGUAGUGAAGCCAAGAUGGCACCAGGACCCCAUAUCGCAAUGUGGGGCUUUUCUACCUGGGGUGUGUACCAAAGCCUGGAAUUCAUAGUCCCGUCUUUCGGGAUGACUUCUUUGCCAUGAGGACAUUUUGAUAUUGUGUUUUUCAUUUCGUUGAAAAUCUAACAAAACAACGUAAGCAUGUUCUACAUCAUCUGGUUCCCCUUAUAAACAAGUAUUGCCAUGCAGGGCCAGUGCCCACAUUUGCAUUGGUGUUUAUAACUGUGUUGGGGUCAAGAAGAACUACUUUGAUUGUCCCAGGCUAAAGAGUGAAGGCAGACUUUAUACACAAAUUAUAAAUCCCUGCCAAGAAAAGGCUAUGUAAUAUCAUGGGGUACUGUAGGAGCAACGCGAGGAAAUUUGCAAGUGGUGAUUUAGGGUCAGCAAAAGCCUCUCUCAUAUUACGAUUUGCAUUAGUAUGAAUUUUUAGUUUUGUUUGGAUUUACUUGUUUAUAGUCAUGAUAUUUAUCAGUAAAAGAAAGGCUCGCCUGGUUUUUUAUUGGUAUUGUGUUAAUCUUGUAAUAACAAUAAUUAUCACUUUAAAUUUUUUUUUAAUGUUUAUUUAUUUUUG